rnacentral:rRNA from 1 species
AGAGUUUGAUCAUGGCUCAGAACGAACGCUGGCGGCAUGGAUUAGGCAUGCAAGUCGAACGCUUGUAGCAAUACAGGAGUGGCGAAAGGGUGAGGAACACGUGAGUAACCUACCCUCAAGUUGGGAAUAACACCGGGAAACUGGUGCCAAUACCGAAUGUGGCUGUAGAACCGCAUGGUUCAACAGCUAAAGAUUUAUCGCUUGAGGAGGGGCUCGCGUCCCAUUAGCUAGUUGGUGAGGUAACGGCUCACCAAGGCAACGAUGGGUAGCUGGUCUGAGAGGAUGGCCAGCCACACUGGGACUGAGACACUGCCCAGACUCCUACGGGAGGCUGCAGUCGAGAAUCUUGGGCAAUGCGCGAAAGCGUGACCCAGCAAUGCCGCGUGCAGGAUGAAGGCCUUCGGGUUGUAACUGCUGUCACCCGGGACGAAGAAUUGACGGUACCGGGAGAGGAAGCCACGGCUAACUACGUGCCAGCAGCCGCGGUAAUACGUAGGUGGCGAGCGUUGUUCGGAUUUAUUGGGCGUAAAGGGUCUGUAGGGGGUUUGCUAAGUCUGAUGUGAAAUCCCGUGGCUCAACCACGGAACUGCAUUGGAGACUGGCGGACUAGAGUUCUGGAGAGGUAAGCGGAAUUCCAGGUGUAGCGGUGGAAUGCGUAGAUAUCUGGAAGAACACCGAUAGCGAAGG